UACAUGGGGAUCUGGUGGACGAUAGUAGCAGCUUGAUGUAGCUUUCGAUGAGAAAAAUUCCACAUUUCACUCGUUUCCUGGCACAAUUGUUUUUCACGAGAAAAUGAGUGAUGGAGAAGAAAGACGGGGAAUAUCUUCCAUCACACGCUCAUGUGUUGGAGCUGGAGAAGUCAAAAUGGGAGGUGGUUCUGAAUAUUUGGUUUGAACACGCGUUUUCUCAUCUCUGGCAGGACGGCAAUCAUGGCGAAGGACGCCUUGGCCUUGAUGGAUCAUUUGGGGUGGAAGAAAGCACAUGUCUUUGGCCACUCUAUGGGUUAGUCCUCCUUGGUGUGCUGUGCCUUUCAAUUUCGGGACCCUGUUCUUCAAAUGUGUGAUCUAUAGGCAUUGACCCUGCUGCUCUGUGCAACCAGGUGCGAUGAUUUCUUGCAAGCUAGCGGCGAUAGCGCCUCACAGGCUGUGCUCACUGGCAUUGCUUAAUGUCACGGGAGGUGGCUUUCAGUGUUUCCCAAAGGUACUGGAGCUUUGAUAUCCUCUACAUAUUUGUGGAACUGAAUGGAACUUCCAAUGCUGCGAGAUACAAAGGAAAUGCUGCAAGAGGCACUCAUUACAAUUUUCAAUUGUUCGUGCCUGAAGUUGAAGUUUUUUCCCCUGCUUCUGUAGGUUGAUGGGCAGAUGCUAUCUCUUGCAUUCCGUUUCUUACGGGCGAAAACUCCAGAGGAAAGAGCUCUUGUGGACUUGGAAACCCAUUAUACGAAGGUAAGGAACUAACAAACAAUCCAAUAUCAUUCCCCAUUUGACCAAAAAAAUAGUUCUUUUUUCAGAUUCACCGAUUCAUUGUUGAUUUCUUUUGAUUGAACAAUAUUCCUAUGCAGGAAUACCUUGAGGAGACUGUCGGGUCAUGCACUAGGAGAAUGGUCCUUUAUCAAGUGAGUGCUAUCACUACCUUCCAGAUGACGCUUCGUAACAGUCUUUUGGUGAUGCUGUAUCUUCUAGAUUGGCAUAUGUGAUGUCAUGUACUCUCCGGAAACAUUGAUCUUGGUCUUUUGGAUGAUAUGUGUUGCUUUUACACAUUGAAUGCUUGCUUGUCAUUAUCCUUUAAUGUCACAUACCAUUGAUUUCUUAAUAUAAUGAUACACAGCUCUCCUGCAUGUUCGAGAAAACAUACCAUGGACUUAUGUAAUUUUGACUAGGUCUUCUUUUGGUGUGAAUCUGGAAUUAUGUUUUGCAUCCCCUUUUUAGAAUAUAAGCAUAUACUGGACUGUGGUACACACUAUAAAUUAUAAUGAAGAUGAACAUACAUUUGGCAACUUAUUUGUGGAAGACUCAUCUGUACUGUGUUGCUUUCAGGAAUAUGUGAAGGGUAUAUCAUCAACAGGGAUGCAAUCUAAUUGUGGUUUUGAAGGGCAAGUUAAUGCAUGCUGGACCCACAAAAUGACUACGAAAGAACUAGAUACAAUACGCUCAGCCGGUUUUCUAAUUUCUGUUAUUCAUGGAAGGUUAGUUUGGCCAACAGCAGAUAUUCUAUGCAGAGGGUACAUGCCCAUUUUGGUUGACUUACAUCAUAUAACUGCAGGUAUGAUAUCAUUGCACAAUUGUGUCAUGCAAAACGUCUAGCAGAAAGGCUUCUUCCUGCUGCUAGAAUGGUAGAACUUCAUGGUGCACAUCUAGUGAGUCAUGAAAGACCAGACGAGGUAAAGCGUGAACUUUGGUGAAACAGCAACAUGUGCCACUGAGAUGUUAAGAACAUUGAUACGAUGAUUGCUUUGCUUGCUUGUUUAAACUGUUGCAUGGGGGGGGGGGGGGGGGAGGGAGGGGAAGGGGGUUCCAAAAAUAACAUAAAAUUGUGGCUCUGUGCAAGCAUAAAUGAACUAGCAAAUGGUCAACUUUUGGACCAAAGGAGGAUUGAAUGAGAAACAUCUUACAACUUGUGCAGAUAUUCCAAAGUUGCUAACUGAACUAAGAUCAGACACUACAGUUAUAUGAAAGCAUCAUUUAUCACCUAAACGUGCAACAGAAUUUGUUGCUUUUGAAGACAACUGUUUUCCACCGCUAGUUUUAGCAGAGAAAAACGGAAUUGCAGGAUCCAAUAUGCUACCUCAAGGGAAAAAAAAAUCCUUAUCUGAAGCCAUGUUACCUCAAGUAUUGAGGCAUGCAACUCAUCAUCCACUCAGCCUGAUACCUUGUACUAAGAAGCAAGGAACUAUGAUAUUUGGCUUCUAGGAAUUUCCUGAAAAAUAGAUAAAAGCAAGGGUAUGGAGUUGCAAAUUAAACUUAUCCUACUAAUAUGUAGACCUUCGCAUACUCAACUUAUGGCUAUUUAGGAGAAUAUUUAUUGUACACACCAGAAGCACUUUAAGAACAAUUGGCAGAGUAUAGAGAGAUGAGUGGAGAGCAAACCAACAAUUGGCUCUUCUGGACAGUUCUUGGUUCAUUUUAUUGAACUUGACGAUUUUCGUUUUCCUCCCUUUUUCACAAUUCACAUGAUAGCACAGUAGAACUCAUGUAACUUUCUAUGAAUUCCAGGUGAACAAUGCACUUAUGGAUCUAAUAAAGGCUACCAAAUCUGCGAUGAAACCUGAAGAGUGGUCAGCCCAGCCUGAGAAUGUAUCAGGUACGCUUAAGAAGGCCAAACGUCUCCGAUUUAUCUUGAAGGAUAAUUGUUUGGGAGCACAUAUCUUAUGUUGCAUCUUCAUCAGAAACCGGGGCACUUGUUUCCGGAAGACCCAUUACCGUCACGAUGCGAACAGAUGAAGGUGCAAACGUCGCCGUAGCAGUCUAUAACUUGCUUGGCAAGCUGCAACUAAGCUUUCUUUAUCUCAUAGGGGUGAUAGUCAUGGGGUUUGAGCACAUGAGGAACAUAGUAAAGGUAAUGAAGCCAGUAAGGGUGGCGGCAAUUGAGUCAUAAGGUAAAAGGAUCCUCCCUGCUCCCUUGCCAGAUCAUUGAAACAAAUUCUCCAUGUUGUGGCCUUGAACUAACUGAAUCUUUCCCUGAUGUUGCAGGAACAAGGACAUGUAAAUUAUUCUCAAGACCUUGUGGGAGUCGAGAUGGUAUUUUCACUUCUCCCCAGUACUUCGGAGAUGAUGAUUUUAGAGUAGCAUCUCCCAACAACUGUGAAAUUUUUCUGAGGGAACGCCUGCUCUUAGCUGAAUAAUACGACACAAAAACAUAGAAGGAAAACCGUUGUUGGCGCCUGGACAGAAGUGUCGUAGGGCACGGUUGAUGUAAUACCUGUGAAGAGAGUUUCUGUAAGCACGGCCACACAUGCUGCGCUGGUGCUGUCAGCCUGUCACCAUGUUCCUGCGUACGAUACCAUGCCGAGAUUUCAAAGGGAUUCUUUGUUGCUUUAUGUAUCUGCGUGGUGUCGCUGAACGCUUAUGUAACUUCCGGCAUGACAUGAGCUGUGCAAGCAAACCUACAGCUACAGCAGCUACUAUCAAAUCGCAUAUCAGGAUUUUCACGACGUAUAAACAUUAGGGCUAACAACACCCCAGGUCCCAGGAAGGCAGGAAUAGUGCACCGGCGUGGAUGGCCGCGGGGCACCGCUUCCGCUUUCAUCGCGGCCAGAACUCCAGAACCCGAAAGCCACCACACCAGGUCCAAGACCUGUUAACUCCGGUCCAUUUUUGAGAUAAUGGUGGCUCCACACAAUUGGUGCUCCGCUUCCGGUAUGCCGUAUGCCGCUUCCACGGGCCACGGCGGACAGCACACAGCAGGCGCUAUCUGAAUUCUGAAUUCCCGAUGACCGCAACUCCCGAGGAUUCUGAAUUCCCAAUGACGGCAACUCCCGAGGAAUAUAUAGUUGGUCUAGACUACGACGCGGUUAGGCGAUAUGACCAACUAUAAUCGGAUAAGGAAUGACACGAUGCUAUAGUUCCCGAACGAACAAUCCAUACGCGUAAUUGAAUUUGUCUCAUCAUGGAGGGGCUGCGAGAUCCACAUACGCAGAGAGCGCAUGCAGUAGGGACGGAAUUAAGCAGGGACAGCGCAGAAUCUCUCACAAACACGGACGCAGAACAGAAGGGAUGCUCUUCAGGCGUGGCGACGGUACUAACCUGGUAAUCACGACGGAUGGUUGCUUGCUCUCCCCGGCGACGGACGCGUCGUCGGCGACCGGCGGCUUCGAUUGGCCGGUGGCCACAUGAGAUGAAGCUUGGGAUCGAUAGGAAGGUGUAUUGCACAUUUGCACACCCAGGCACCGAGCGAGGAGGAAGAGGGUAACUGAGGAGGGGAAUGGUGGCCGUAUGUGCCCGCGCGGGGCAAGGCAGGAGAGAAAACUAGGCAUCCAUGGUACAUUCGCUCUUCCCGGCAAAAUAUUCCCGGGCGCGAGAGGAUAUUCCCAUGAGCAACGCUGAAUAUGCCUUUUCUUCUUUCUUGCUAACCUCACUAUUUGGGCCUUGGCCUAACUAAACAUGAACCCUGCUAAUGGGCCUAGCCCGCCUGUGAACGGGACCGGCCCAGGCAGAAGUGGAAAUGCUCGGGGAAACGGCGUGGGCCCACAAUCUCGCAGAUUGGAGAGCACGCCCACCAGCUUACUCGUCUCCAUCGACGACGGGAAGAGGCAGGACCGGAAAGGCGGAGAGGGCAGCAGAAGCAGAAGCAGAAGCGGCAGCCAUGGGCGUGAUGGAUAAGCUCAAGAUCUUCGUGGUGAAGGAGCCCGUCGUCGCCGCAUCUUGCCUCAUCGCCGGAUUCGGUAUUCGCCCCAUCCUUCUCCUCCGCUCUGGCCCAAACCCUAGUAGAUGCACUCGCGCCCAUCAGAAAUGGGGACGCAGGCUCCCGUGCUGUUGCCUCACCCUACGUCGGUCCUCGGCGACUAUGCGUGGCUCGGUGUGGGUACACCACCGGGGGUUGAUUUCUAGAGGCUUACGACGUUUGGGGUGGCCUUUUCACUUGCUACAGUUCAUUAGAUCCAGGAUCCCAAAUCUCUGGCGCCUGGGAUGCAUAAUGUUAUAUUCCAAAUCACUAGUCCUGUUUGUCAGCGCCGCAUGUGACACAAAUUCAGCUACCAGCAGAGCAUAAGCUAUCAUUUCCCUGCUCAACAAAAUGACAUUUGAGUUCAAUGUUAUAGGAAAUGGGUAAUACUGUCACGCCACUUUCAGUUCAAUUUGUGCUUGUAUGCCAACUAGACAUUUCAUUUAGGUUUCUACCUUUUCUAGUUCAAUAAAUAUAUUUUGGCAAAACCUUAUGACGUUUCAUUUUUAUAUUUUGGUGGUACUUUGUGUCCAUUGGCAAUUUGGCUGAACAUGUGUGCUUUCAGUUCAAUGUGUGCUUGUAUGCGAACUAGACAUUUCCUUUACGUUUCCACAUCUCUUUGUCGUAUAUGAGGGGUUAUUACGGUCUUAAGUCUCGCAUCAAAAUAUUGUUACUCACCAUUGUCCAGAAUCAUGUUAAAAAGAAAAUGCCUGUUUUGCUUGUGGAUGUAGAUUACAUUAGCCUGUUUGCUCUCAGCUCCAGUAAUGUUAAGAAAGAUUGAAUUUGCAAGGAAAGACUACAAAUAAUAAGAAUGACACUAGAAAUUGACUGAGGCAUACAAAUUGUCUUGACCACGUGAUAUGAAAUUGCUAUGUGACUGGGGAUAGUGCCUCAGGCCUUAGCUAAACUCAUCUGGAUUCAUUCUCUUGCACAGUAGAAUGAAUAACUUUAUUCUAGUUUACAUGUUUGCGGAAUGGGCACUCAUGCUUAUUUUCUGUGAAAUGGGAUUAUACCUAAAACUUUACAUGAUUGAGAGAUGUGUUUGGUGUUGCGUGCUAGAAAAGAUUGGUUGCAUACGUUGCACCUAACCUUUUCAAUAUGAUUCUAGUAUGGAUUGAUUUCCUGAGUUGAUCCUCUUUGACUAAGUAGUACUCCCACCGUUCCAAAAUGUAGGUUGUUUUGGCUUUUCUAGAUACAAAGAUUUUGCUAUGUAUCUAGAUAUAAUAUAUAUUUAGGUGCAUAGCAAAAAUUAUGUAUCUAGAAAAGCUAAAACAACCUACAAUUUGAAACAGAGGGAGUAGUAUUAGUCCUUGCUAACUAAUGGUCUAUGGUUGCAAUCAAACUUAUAGUGCUUCUUAGGUUGACAAUUUUUGUCUUGCAACUGGAUUAAUUUUGCUGGCAACCAUUGUAAUUAAAAUUUAUAUGGAGCAAUACAAGCACUAGGCAGUAGGCAUUCGAUUUUUCUCGAGUAGUUUCUACCCAGAAAAUGUCAGCCCAAAAGUGGUAAGAUUUAAAGCACACACUGUAAAACUCCACUUCAACAUCUGUCAAGUUAACAGAGAACGCAUAGAACAUCACAUGUUGCUAUGAGAACUGGUGUUUUAUACUUUGACAUAUCAGAAAGAAACCAGAACCUUUUUUCCUCCUGUUAAUUGCCUUGGAGCAAACUUGAUUCCUAAGAUUUUCUAGAUGUGCCUGCUGAAGUUAUGGAAUUAUUGAUUGGAGAAGAGCUAACAUUCUAUCAUUGGCCUUGCUUCUCCCUCGGCUGACCUUAUAAUUUGCAAUUUCAGGUCUCUUUCUUCCAGCAGUUGUUCGGCCAAUCUUGGAUUCAUGGGAGACUGCGGAAAAAGUUCCUCCACCUCCUCUAAAUGAUGUAUGUGAUUCCUCUGUUUUGGGUUGUUCUAUGUGGUGCUUUCAUGCUCAAACAAUUAAUACUGUUUCCAUUCAAUUUCCCAUCAUUUCCCAAUUCAAAAUAUUUAUUUUUCUCAAUCUAAUUCUUAUGAAAUAAACUUCCUAUUGAUCUUUAAUUGGGAAAAAAAACUCCCUAUUUGGUCACUCCAAGCUAACUUGGCUAAAAAAAUGCCAGAAAAUGAGUUCUAAAUUCAUUACUGCUUGCUCAGUGUAAACUGCAGAGAGCAUUUGUUUGAACUUUCUGCUGCAUAAUUGUAUCAUUGCAUCCUCAAACUUGAGGAUUUGAUGAAUGACCACAGUUCACCUGCCAUUUCCUGAUUUUAUUCUUUGAGCAAGGAAGCCUAAGUACUAAAAUCUGUCAUGGAAAAUGGUUGUGCCAACUUUUAAUCUUCUGUCACUUCUGCAGGUGGUUGCAGGUGUCACCGGCAAGAAAAAGUAGCGAACUUGCAUGUUUUCUCCUGUCAAUGUUGUCCCACAUUUUUCUUCCCCAUGUUUUCUUGCAACCAGAUUGUAACUUGGAAGUUGCGGUCUUCAACUCGUAGAUGAUAUCGGCGAAAUAAUCAUUGUACCUGAACCUCAUAAUUCAGCAAUGCGACAGUUUUGAAUUUUUUUGCUUCUCAUUAGAAACAAAAAGGUUGAUAGAAUGCCAGUACCUUUUGCCUUUUGGAUUGUGUUUGCCAUAACCAUAUUUCUUGGUGGAGCAGUCAAGAUAAGAUUGCCUUACAAAUUUCAAUAAGGCCCGUUUGGAUCCUUGGAAUUGAAUUCCAUUUUAAUAAUCAUAAUUUAGACUACUAUAGUUGUAUGUAGAAUAUGUCUGUAUAUUAUUGUUGGCUAUAUGGGAGAGAUACUUACGUGCUGCACUUCUGCUACAGGGAAGCAAUCGAAGAGCAUGCUAUAAGAUGCACAUUAAACACAUAGUAGUAUGAGGAUUUAUAGAAUCAAUUUUUAUCUUCCACCUUAUGAAUUUAAGAUAGGCUUAUAUCUAAAUUUUGGAAGGUUGUGGAAAGUAGAUUCCAACUCAUGAAUUUAACAUAGAUUUAUGUGGAAAGUAGAUUCCAACGGAUCCAAACGGGACCUAAUCGGAAUCGCCGUGGCGUCAGCACGGCCUGCUUGUUUUGUGACAUUGUAAUCUCCGCAAGGCGUGAUGGACUGCCGGACGCGGCUCUUGACUCUUGAGCGUGUGCCGUGUAGUCUCCUGCUAACUUCGACCGCGCUAGUGCCUCCACGCUGUAGCGCUGCGAUUGCGCAUCCCACUGGACGUCUUCCACCUCGGCAAGUCUGCGACUCGGCGGCCUUCGUGUGCCCAUACCGGCUGGGGGAAACAGCGGGACAUCGCGUGCCCGUGUUGUUUGGCGGUCAAGUGGUGAGUCUCCGAGAGACCGAGAAGAAGAAGAGGCGCAGGUGUUGUUGGGCCAGUGUUUCGACCCGUGCAGCCCACAUGUAAAAGUCCAGCCCAAAUAAGCCCAGGAACCGGGUGCCAGACCUAGGGUUUACGGGCACGCCCCCGGUAUAAAACAACCGAGGCUCCCAGCCUCCCCGGCCUCCAGCAGCCGCCACCCCCAGUACCGGACCAGAGCGAGGCGACGCCGCGGCACCUCAUCUCCGGUAAGUGUAGAUCGCCCUCCAAUCGAACGCGACGAUGAUUUGUUAACCCUGCUGUGCUCUAUUUCGUUGUUAAGUUUGUGCAGUUCGAGUUGACGCUGAUUUAGCAGUCGCGUCCGUGCUUAGCACGCCGCUAUUCUAAGUGGUUUGUAGCAUCCUGCUGGGAAAUUUGUAGGUUUCCUGUGCAUGAUUCGGUCGUUGGUUAUGUAGCUGUGGCCUUCUUGCAUCUUAGUAUACACUUGUUCUGUGUGGUUGACUGCAAUCUUAUUCUUCUCCCAGUUAGAUCUGGUAACUAUGUAGCGCGUAGGGUUAGUCGUAUCGUUGGAAAUAUUAAUGAAGAUGUUCCUCUGCUGUUUGAAAGGCGUAGUUUACUUUUGCAAUCAAAUUCAGUUCUCUGGCCAGAUGAUUAGUUUCUUUCCCUUAGGUGUUCCCUGCUGUUACUGUUGGGUUAAGGUGUUUGACACUAGGUAGUUGAUUUGAUUAUGUAGGCGAAGGGAAAUGGCGACGGUUCCAGGGGAUCUGAUCUGGCAGAUUGUUAGGAAGAACAACUCCUUCCUGGUGAAGCAGUUCGGCAACGGCCAUGCCAAGGUGCAGUUCACCAAGGAGCCUAACAACCUCUACAACGUGCACUCGUACAAGUACUCUGGUAUGCUGUUUCCUACAUUGCUUGAGUUGUGCUUCGUAUGUAACACACUGUGAUAUUUGCAGUAAAUAAUAAAUAAACAAGUGCUGACUGCAUGUGUCUGUUCUGUUCUCUUAGGCUUGGCGAACAAGAAGACCGUGACGAUCCAGCCAGCAGCUGGAAAGGAGUCUGCUGUGGUCCUCUCGACGACCAAGACCAAGAAGCAGAACACACCUGCCAAGCUCAACCACAAGUCUGUGAUGCGCAAGGAGUUCCGCAAGAUGGCCAAGGCUGUGAAGAACCAGGUACUAGCACAUGAAAAUUCAUAAUGGUUACUUGUCUCUGAUAAUUUGAUUGCUUGUUAUGCUCUAUCUGAUAAUGCAUAGAUCUUUGCUUUACACCCUGGGUAUUAUUUUUGCACAUUGUUGUCAUUAAUUUGUUGCUGUGAUGAGCCAUAACAAGUAAGAAGGCCAACUGAUCAACUGGUUCUUCGAUGAAAUAUAGCUGAUACGCUUGGCUUCUGAGCUAAUUAUCAUAUUGGUUUCAUGUGCUAUUCCUGUUUUUUGUACACUGGUUAUUUUAAAUAUUAUGUUUUGUUUGAAAGAUAGUUAUUUGCUAUGUUGCUUGUAUGGUGCUAUGUGAGAUUUUUUCUUGUUGAUAGAUUCUCUUUUAUAUUUUUGGGUUUCACUGCAUAUCCAAGGUGUAGCUAUGAUGAGCCAUAACUUGUAAGAAGGCCAACUGAUCAACUGGUUCUUCAAUGAAAUAUAAGCUGAUACGCUUGGCUUCUGAGCUGAACCUGCAGAAUACUUAGUCUUUGAAUGGUCGAAGUCUUGCAUGUUCCUUUAUGUGAAGCUUUUUAACUAUGAUUACCAGACCUUGUAACUGAUCUUAUAGGGUUGCUGAUUGUUCUAAUUUGUAUUUUGUUUGCUCUGCAGGUUAGCGACAACUACUACAGGCCUGACCUAACCAAGCCGGCUCUCGCUAGGCUGAGCUCCGUGUACCGCAGCCUCCAGGUUGCCAAGUCUGGCGUCAAGAAGAAGAACAGGCAGCCUAAGCACUAAGCUUGUGUUUUGUUGAGGGUCCUGUUGGUGCUCAAUAGUCCCAGCUUAUUAUCUUUGUUCCGACAGUUUUGAGACUUG
rnacentral:lncRNA from 1 species